GACGAAGAACGUAGCGAAAUGCGAUAAGUAAUGUGAAUUGCAGAAUUCAGUGAAUCAUCGAAUCUUUGAACGCACAUUGCGCCCCUUGGUAUUCCAUGGGGCAUGCCUGUUCGAGCGUCAUUUGUACCUUCAAGCUCUGCUUGGUGUUGGGUGUUUGUCUCGCCUCUGCGUGUAGACUCGCCUCAAAACAAUUGGCAGCCGGCGUAUUGAUUUCGGAGCGCAGUACAUCUCGCGCUUUGCACUCAUAACGACGACGUCCAAAAGUACAUUUUUACACUCUUGACCUCGGAUCAGGUAGGGAUACCCGCUGAACUUAAGCAUAUCAAUAAGCGGAGGA
rnacentral:misc_RNA from 1 species